UCUGGUAUGAAAGGUUUGACGAGAUAUUAACUGUUUCAUAAAAAUUUAUAAUAGAAUUUUAUUUUUUAGUCAAAAAGCUAAAAUAAAAUUAAAAGACGAGAAGACCCUAUAAAUCUUUAUAUAUAGAUUAUUAGAAUUUUGUAGAUUAUUUUUGUUAUAAUAAUUAAUUAUAUUUUAUUGGGGUGAUAUUAAAAUUUAAUGAACUUUUAAUUUUUGAAAUCAUUAAUUUAUGAAUAGUUGAUCCGUUAAUAACGAUUAAAAAAAUAAGUUACCUUAGGGAUAACAGCGA
rnacentral:rRNA from 1 species